rnacentral:tRNA from 1 species
CGGGGUGUAGCAUAAUGGUAGUGUGCAUGUUUUGGGUACAUGUGGCCCGGGUUCGAUUCCCGGCACCCCGACCA